UACGUAGGGCGCAAGCGUUAUCCGGAAUUAUUGGGCGUAAGAGCUCGUAGGCGGUUUGUCGCGUCUGCUGUGAAAACUGGAGGCUCAACCUCCAGCCUGCAGUGGGUACGGCAGACUUGAGUUCGGCAGGGAGACUGGAAUUCCUGGUGUAGCGGUGAAAUGCGCAGAUAUCAGGAGGAACACCGGUGGCGAAGGCGGUCUCUGGGCCGACACUGACGCUGAGGAGCGAAGCGUGGGAGCGAACAGGAUUGAGA
rnacentral:rRNA from 1 species